AAAACUUUCAACAACGGAUCUCUUGGUUCUGGCAUCGAUGAAGAACGCAGCGAAAUGCGAUAAGUAGUGUGAAUUGCAGAAUUCAGUGAAUCAUCGAAUCUUUGAACGCACAUUGCGCCCCUCGGCAUUCCGUGGGGCAUACCUGUUCGAGCGUCAUU
rnacentral:rRNA from 4 species